GAUGAACGCUGGCGGUGUGCCUAAUACAUGCAAGUCGAGCGAACAGACGAGGAGCUUACUCCUCUGACGUUAGCGGCGGACGGGUGAGUAACACGUGGAUAACCUACCUAUAAGACUGGGAUAACUUCGGGAAACCGGAGCUAAUACCGGAUAACAUGUUGAACCGCAUGGUUCAACAGUGAAAGACGGUCUUGCUGUCACUUAUAGAUGGAUCCGCGUCGCAUUAGCUAGUUGGUAAGGUAACGGCUUUCCAAGGCAACGAUGCGUAGCCGACCUGAGAGGGUGAUCGGCCACACUGGAACUGAGACACGGUCCAGACUCCUACGGGAGGCAGCAGUAGGGAAUCUUCCGCAAUGGGCGAAAGCCUGACGGAGCAACGCCGCGUGAGUGAAGAAGGUCUUCGGAUCGUAAAACUCUGUUAUUAGGGAAGAACAAAUGUGUAAGUAACUAUGCACGUCUUGACGGUACCUAAUCAGAAAGCCACGGCUAACUACGUG
rnacentral:rRNA from 1 species